AGCUGGUUUGCGGGGCUCGGGUGAGGUUCUCUCGCCCGUGACGGCCCAGGGCUGAGCAGCUCAGGGCUGAGAUCCUGCCGGGUUCGCUCUGGUUUCAAGGACACGGGGAGAUGAUCAGGACUUUGGGAGCCAACAUCUGCCUGGCUGGUGACGUCAGCAGCUCCGUGUAAUCCGCUUGUACUGAAGGCAGAUGCCUUAUUUGUUUGGCUGGAGAGCCAUUAAUCCCUAAUUCGGGAUCAGCAAGCGAGGGGGAAAGACCAGACCGCGCCGCCCCCCACCCCAAAAAGCACCUAGCACCGAAGAGGACCCUCACCUCGCGUUCUCUGCGGGCUCCGGCGCUGCUAGGGGAAAGCUUGAGCUCUCCGCAGGAGCUCACUCUCCGGAUCUAUGGUGGUCAGGGUAGGAGCCGCGUCCCCACGGCCUGUACGCACAGAAGCUGGUGUGCAACUGAAGUCCUUGGGAAACCAAACUCCUGGACCCACCCAUUUCCGUUUGCCAGAAUGGAACCGCGCUCGACUAAAGAAAUAGCCCAAUGUGCCUUCUCUCUCCCUCUAAGCUAAACUUCAGAGGCCACCGGUAGAGGUCAACUGGCCCAGUUUUAGGGCGCUGAUCGCAUUCAGACUGGAUGAGGUGAAAACUUUUUCCGUUAUCUUGGUCACUGGGGCCUCAGUCCUGCCGUAGUUGAAGUCAACGACUAAACUCCCAUUGACUUCAGUAGGAACAGAAACCGGCUGCUGGCCGUGGUAGGGUCUGUUUAACUUUGGCAUAUUACUCUCCCUACGGUUUAGCCUAAUUAUAAUUUAUUCAAAUAAUUCAUUUAGCACACAUGCAAUAGGCCAACACAGCCACCUCUCGGCAUUUAGGUGUAAAUGUAACAAACAUAGGCACCAGGAAAUGUGCUAUGCUUUUGGAGCAGAACAAGCAUGUUAGAAGUGGACCCCUGAUUCCGCAAGUCCUCACUCAUGCGAAAGAAACCACUGGUUGCAGUGGGAGUUUUGCCCGAGUGAAGACUGCAGCUCGGGCCUAUUACAUUCAUCACAACAGAGAAGGAUCACCUCUCUCCCUUUGCCCUCCUGGAAACUUUUCACAACUGAACUCUUCUUGGGCUUUCUGACACAGAUGAGUCAAAAGGGAUAGUUGCAGACCCUUUCCUGGGAGCUGGUCGAACAAAUGGAAGCUUUAAUUUCAUACCUAUUAUUUCUUUUUUAAAAGCCCGAACUGUUAAUGCUUUGAAUCUGCAUGACUUAUGUUUACAAUUCAUUGUGAACAGCUUCCCAGGAUUUAAUUAAGAAAAAAAUGUAAUUAUUGGAACAAUAAAAUAACCAUCCAUCCAGACCUACACAUCAUUGUAUAUGUAUAUAUGAGAACAUAUACUAUUUUGUUUAAUUCAUUAAAAUUCAAAGCAAAUUCUAACUCAGGAAUAGAUUAUAAAUUUACAGGUUAGCUGAGCAAUAUAGAAGCAUAGCUCUGAAACAUUAAAUUAAUUGGUUUAAGGAUUUCAAAUACCAGAUUACCCCAGUGGUGAAACCCGCCUCUCUCUUUCGCAUAUGCAUCAAGUCAGUCAAAUAUACUAUUCAAUGGAUACUGUAUAAUACCAAAUAGGGCAUAUAAAUGAAAUGCCCAAUUACUGAGUCAGUUAAAAAUAUUUCCUCAUUUUUAUUAGACAAAAGGAAUCCUGGUAUUUUCUAAAUGGAAAUAAUAUAGUGAUUGGAACUGGAUAGUAUGCUAUGAUCUGGAGGAACCAUGAGCUCAUAAAGAAAGGUUUUAUUAAAGGCUGAAUAAUUCCAGGUCGGAUGAGAUUUUUGAUUCUUUAGGAAUACUGAGAAAUUCUCUCAUUUGAAAAUAAUCUCGGAGUAUACUAUUUACCACCUUCCUUCCUCUUUCAAAAAUGGAGUCAAAAGUUCUGCUCUCAGCAGUUUUUACACAGUGCAGCAUAAUGUCCUAUCCUAACUCAACGAAGGCUUCCCAGUGGGAGGCGAGAAGAGAAGAUGUGUCUUGGGGCCCCCUCUACACCAGAAGCAUUUAGAUUUGUGUUUGUUUGGUUAAAGUUAAAGCUUCUUGGAGAACCGUUUUGCGCAGUGAACCGCUCCUAUUUUGUUUGAGAUGAAGCAAGGCUGCACCACUGGGAAAACGUAUGCAGACGUACGUUUUCUUAUUUCACUCUAGCUACCCAGAGUAGAAAACUUAAACUAGGUUAGUUAACUAGGCCAUGGUACCCUCUACUGGCCAAAAGAGAAAGAACAUCGAUUUACAAAAGUGUUCGAUGACAUCUGGGAAAAGAACCCGAAACUAAACAUGACAUAGUAAUGUAAUACUUAAGAUUAUUCUGAGUACUUUGCAAUUUAAAGGCCUGCGAGAUAAACCGGCCGCUUGGAACCCGAGGAUUUCCCUCUAUUGUCUUGAGGUCACAAAGCGGGAUGACGACUUCAGGGAGAAAAGAUGCUGCUGGAGUUCGAAAUCCUAGAACGUUUCGUCUGCAGUCCAGAGUCACUCAGGAGCCUGGGACUGAGAUUAAAGCCUGGGAGCCGAACAAAAGGCAAGAUAUUGCCCAGUUAGACAAAUCAGGAGAGAGUUCCAGGGUUGACAUUUUAAAUGUGGUGUGGGACACCUGAAAUGACACAGGUAAGUGGAGGGAAGAGCAAAGAAAACUCUACACAGAACUUGCCCUCUUGAAUUUAUUUAAUCCUAUCCUGAAAUCCCCAGGAAUAGCAUCCUCAGAUUUCAAAGGGUGGAAGAAAAGGGCAAUAAAGCACAACUUUCAAUCUACCAAAGACUAGUGCGUGACAAUGGCUUUUACGGUCAGACAAGUACCCAAGAUAAAAGAGGGGUCCAGCAAGAACUAGCAAAGGAAUGACAUGAGAUUCAUGUCCCAAUCCCUGCUAUACAUACAGAAACUUCAUUGCUUCAAUUGCAUUAUUCAGCUCUUCUGGUGUCAAUUUAUUGCCGUAAAUAGUGAUAGAAUACCAGGUUGUAAAUUUGGAUCUAAAAGAAAUUAAAGUAUCUCAAACUAUUGAGCGGUAUAGCUAAAAGAUAGUACAGUUGUGCUACAGUAAUGUAUUUUUAAAAAUUAAAUAUCUCACACUGUUCCUUUUCAAAAAGUGGACUAGAAGCAGCACUGUUGGAAAAUGAGGGGGAAGGAGAAGCUUGCUUUAUAGUUACACUUCUUCAAAUGUUCUAUACAAAUUGGUAUAUAUGUACAGCUGUAUUACUUGAAUGUCCUGACUUACUAAAUUAUAAUAGGACCAUAAAUACAUUUGAAUAAUUUUCAAAUAAAAAAAUCAAUGUAGUAAUUAUAUCAGUACUGAUGUAAUGAAGUUAAUUUAUUGUUCACACUGAUUUGAAGGAUUAGUUCAUAAUAAAUCCUCCAGAAAUAAAAUUUGAUUUAUUAAA